rnacentral:misc_RNA from 1 species
AGUUGAAGAAGGAAGCUUCCCAAGGUAGUCCUGAUAAAUCACAACCUGCUGAAUCGAUACCAUUGACUGAUUCAUCAACUUCAAACAGUUGAGAUGUAUAGCAAGGACGUAAGGGUGGUCUGCCACGACAUUUUGUGCUCCUACACUUGAUUAAUUUUUUGGCCAGUAUGGUGCGGAAUCAAGUGGAUAUGAUAUCGUGUUAGGUGCCAAAUUGAGAAUCAUACUCAUGAAAAGAACAUCUGCUGAAGGUUUUGAAAUUAGUGAUAAUGUAAUUGUAAAAACAUUUUCAUUUCAGUUAUUUUUAUUUUUUGGAGGUGGGGAAUUGUGAAAGUGGCAUAGCAGUUACAGGGAUCCCUCUUCUAAUCUGGAUAGACUAUUUACCCCUAUUUCCAUAUUCAAAGUUGUUGACAUCAAAGCCUAGAUAUAUAGAAACAAGCCUAGAUAUAUAGAAACAACAUGCACAGAGUGUCAA